rnacentral:rRNA from 1 species
AGAGCGAACGCUGGCGGCGUGCUUAACACAUGCAAGUCGAACGCGCAGCAUUCUGUAGCAAUACAGGGUGUGGGCGCGUGGCGAACGGGUGCGUAACACGUGGAUAACCUUCCUUGAGGUGGGAAUAACCCAGUGAAAAUUGGGCUAAUACCGCAUAACAUCGCGAUGGCACAUGCUGAUGCGAUCAAAGGCGCAAGUCGCCACAAGAGGGAUCCGCGGCCGAUUAGCUUGUUGGCGAGGUAAUGGCCCACAAGGCGACGACGGGUA